GCUUACGGCCAUACCAGCCUGGGUACGCCCGAUCUCGUCUGAUCUCGGAAGCUAAGCAGGGUCGGUCCUGGUUAGUACUUGGAUGGGAGACCUCCUGGGAAUACCAGGUGCUGUAAGCA
rnacentral:rRNA from 1 species